rnacentral:rRNA from 1 species
CCUACGGGAGGCAGCAGUGGGGAAUAUUGCACAAUGGGGGGAACCCUGAUGCAGCGACGCCGCGUGAGUGAAGCAGUAUUUCGGUAUGUAAAGCUCUAUCAGCAGGGAAGAAAAUGACGGUACCUGACUAAGAAGCCCCGGCUAACUACGUGCCAGCAGCCGCGGUAAUACGUAGGGGGCAAGCGUUAUCCGGAUUUACGGGGUGUAAAGGGAGCGCAGACGGCUGUGCAAGUCUGGAGUGAAAGGCGGGGGCCCAACCCCCGGACUGCUCUGGAAACUGUAAAGCUGGAGUGCAGGAGAGGUAAGCGGAAUUCUUAGUGUAGCGGUGAAAUGCGUAGAUAUUAGGAGGAACACCAGUGGCGAAGGCGGAUUACUGGACUGCAACUGACGUUGAGGCUCGAAAGCGUGGGGAGCAAACAGGAUUAGAUACCCUGGUAGUC